UACGUAGGGGGCAAGCGUUGUCCGGAUUUAUUGGGCGUAAAGAGCUCGUAGGCGGCCCGGUAAGUCCGUUGUGAAAGUCAAAGGCUCAACCUUUGAACGCCGAUGGAUACUGCCGGGCUAGAGUCCGGAAGAGGCGAGUGGAAUUCCUGGUGUAGCGGUGGAAUGCGCAGAUAUCAGGAGGAACACCAAUAGCGAAGGCAGCUCGCUGGGACGGUACUGACGCUGAGGCGCGAAAGCGUGGGGAGCGAACAGG
rnacentral:rRNA from 1 species